rnacentral:rRNA from 2 species
ACGGGAGGCAGCAGUGGGGGAUAUUGCACAAUGGGCGAAAGCCUGAUGCAGCAACGCCGCGUGAAGGAAGAAGGUCUUCGGAUUGUAAACUUUUGUCCUAAGUGAAGAAAAGAAUGACGGUAGCUUAGGAGGAAGCCACGGCUAACUACGUGCCAGCAGCCGCGGUAAUACGUAGGUGGCAAGCGUUGUCCGGAUUUACUGGGUGUAAAGGGUGCGCAGGCGGGACUGCAAGUUGGAUGUGAAAUGUCGGGGCUUAACCCCGGAACUGCAUCCAAAACUGUGGAUCUUGAGUGAAGUAGAGGUAAGCGGAAUUCCGAGUGUAGCGGUGAAAUGCGUAGAUAUUCGGAGGAACACCGGUGGCGAAGGCGGCUUACUGGGCUUUAACUGACGCUGAGGCACGAAAGUGUGGGGAGCAAACAGGAUUAGAUACCCUGGUA